GUAGGUGAACCUGCGGAAGGAUCAUUAAUCAUCACAGCGGGUCCUCUUUGAAAUAUAACGGGAUGUCUGAACCCUUGAAUAUGAACUUAGUUGCUUUGGCGGGCCGCCUUUGGGCGUCGGCUUCGGCUGUUGAGUGCCCGCCAGAGGACCCCAACUCUUGUUUUUAGUGAUGUCUGAGUACUAUAUAAUAGUUAAAACUUUCAAC
rnacentral:misc_RNA from 1 species